rnacentral:rRNA from 1 species
ACUCCUACGGGAGGCAGCAGUGGGGAAUAUUGCACAAUGGGCGCAAGCCUGAUGCAGCCAUGCCGCGUGUGUGAAGAAGGCCUUCGGGUUGUAAAGCACUUUCAGUCGUGAGGAAGGUAGUGUAGUUAAUAGCUGCAUUAUUUGACGUUAGCGACAGAAGAAGCACCGGCUAACUCCGUGCCAGCAGCCGCGGUAAUACGGAGGGUGCGAGCGUUAAUCGGAAUUACUGGGCGUAAAGCGCAUGCAGGUGGUUUGUUAAGUCAGAUGUGAAAGCCCGGGGCUCAACCUCGGAAUAGCAUUUGAAACUGGCAGACUAGAGUACUGUAGAGGGGGGUAGAAUUUCAGGUGUAGCGGUGAAAUGCGUAGAGAUCUGAAGGAAUACCGGUGGCGAAAGGCGGCCCCCUGGACAGAUACUGACACUCAGAUAGCG